rnacentral:tRNA from 1 species
GUCAGGAUGGCCGAGUGGUCUAAGGCGCCAGACUCAAGUUCUGGUCCUCAAUGAGGGCGUGGGUUCGAAUCCCACUUCUGACA